GAUGAAGAACGCAGCGAAAUGCGAUACGUAAUGUGAAUUGCAGAAUUCAGUGAAUCAUCGAGUCUUUGAACGCACAUUGCGCCCCCUGGUAUUCCGGGGGGCAUGCCUGUCCGAGCGUCAUUGCUGCCCUCAAGCACGGCUUGUGUUUUGGGCCUCCGUCCUCCUCCCGGGGGACGGGCCCGAAAGGCAGCGGCGGCACCGCGUCCGGUCCUCGAGCGUAUGGGGCUUCGUCACCCGCUCUUGUAGGCCCGGCCGGCGCUUGCCGACACAUCAAUCUUUUUUCCAGGUUGACCUCGGAUCAGGUAGGGAUACCCGCUGAACUUAAGCAUAUCAAUAAGCGGAGGA
rnacentral:misc_RNA from 1 species